rnacentral:lncRNA from 1 species
CUUCCUUUUCUCCUUUUUCUUUUGAUUGCUAAUUACAGUUAAUGUCUUAAACCCUAUAUGUCAGGCGUCUAUAGAGCGAGACAGGCAGCACGGAAGCCAAGCAGCGGGCUUCUCCACUCAGAUCCGACAGGCGUGCUGUGGUGGCAAGCGGAGCGGGGCGAGUGGACAGGGAACCAACUAUUGUACUUUCAAAUUGUCCGAGGACUGAGCUGCCGCGGCUUCUCUGGGGUGGCUGUCAUCGCCGCGAGCAAGGGUUCCAAGGAGCCGCCCCGGCGGCCGCAGGCACAAUACUUCCUACAACAUUCUACUAAGUCCUCUUUAUCAAGACUUUAUUUCAAACUAUGUCAGAUUGGGUGGCAAGAUAGGAAAUAGUUUCUGUCCCCCAGUUCUUCAAUGUUGUG